GGAGAUGUGCCUGAGUGGCCGAAAGGAGCAGUUUGCUAAACUGUCGUAUGGGCAACCGUACCCAGGGUUCGAAUCCCUGCGUCUCCG
rnacentral:tRNA from 1 species